CCUGACUGACCGAUAGUGAACCAGUACCGUGAGGGAAAGGCGAAAAGAACCCCGGCGAGGGGAGUGAAAAAGAACCUGAAACCGUGUACGUACAAGCAGUGGGAGCACGCUUAGGCGUGUGACUGCGUACCUUUUGUAUAAUGGGUCAGCGACUUAUAUUCUGUAGCAAGGUUAACCGAAUAGGGGAGCCGAAGGGAAACCGAGUCUUAACUGGGCGUUAAGUUGCAGGGUAUAGACCCGAAACCCGGUGAUCUAGCCAUGGGCAGGUUGAAGGUUGGGUAACACUAACUGGAGGACCGAACCGACUAAUGUUGAAAAAUUAGCGGAUGACUUGUGGCUGGGGGUGAAAGGCCAAUCAAACCGGGAGAUAGCUGGUUCUCCCCGAAAGCUAUUUAGGUAGCGCCUCGUGAAUUCAUCUCCGGGGGUAGAGCACUGUUUCGGCA
rnacentral:rRNA from 1 species